GCCUAACGGCGACCUGUUUCUCCGGACCUGUUUCUCCGCCUAACGCCCGAGCUGUUGCUCCACCUAACGCCUGACCUGUGCUCGCCUCACGCCCGACCUGUUGCUCCGCCUCACGGGCAGCCUGUUGAUCGGUGGACGGGUAAGCGCGCAUGGCAUCGGAAGGAGCUCGAAAAGUAUAAGGUGAUGACAGUAAGUAACGUUACUGUGAUUUGUGAUCUUUCUGGGGUGUAAGUAAGUAGUAUUUUUACUCUUGUAUUUCUUAAGUUUGUUCAUGGAUUUUUGUGACAAUACUUUGAUGCAUAAGUGUUGAAUUCAGCUUCUAACAAUGUUUUUUUUAAUCAAAAUAAAUACAAUAAUUGUCCUGCUCUGCAUGUACAUUUUGUUUAGCUGUACAUCUGUACAUUGAAUAGCAAAUGUUAUUAAUUUACUAUGAGCAUUUUACAUUCUAGACGUGAUUUGAGCUAUCUUUAAUUAAUCCUGUAUGUAAGGGUCGUUUCAUGCUAACGGAAAUGUCUGAGCUAUAAGGCUAAUUCCAACCUAAUCAUCUUCGACUGCAAAAAGAAAAAGUUUGACCACCGUUUUAUGUGACACCCUGGAUAAUUAUUAUCAUUUAGGAGUAUUUUUGUGAUAUAGUGACUUUUGGCUAACAUGAUCUUUUUUUACUUAAUUUUGCUUAAACGCUUUUAUCUG